AGUCAUGUCCAAGGUUAGGAAGAUCUUCCAAGGCCUCCAGGAAGAUGAUCCUGGUCCAGUGCCCAGGGUCCUGCUCCUUCCUGCGUUCCUUGAAUGGGUUAAGACUGGGGAAGUUCCCAGAGGGCAUCGGUUUCAACUGCCUUCCUGCUGCUGUUUCGCACCUCAACGCACCCAGCAUCUCCCUGUACAUAUGGGGUCAGCCCACAGGAAGUGACAUCAUUUGAGGAAACCCCUGGUCCCACCAAUCAGAUUCCUCAUCAUGAGCAGAGAGAAGCCUGAGAACUUUGCCAUGCCCGCUGGAACCUGUCCCAGACCAGGCACAGGAACUUCUAGAGGUCCUUGCCCUCCAAUGGCGCCCCCUCAUCUCUAUUAGGUCCCUGAUGCCCUGAAUGACCAAAUGCAACUUCAAAGUUAGCCAUACCAUGCGUGUCCAACUGUGGCUGGCCUGUCACCUGCCACCAGUGAUAGCUAUGAACACAUCCCAACAUAAAAUUGCCAACUUAAAUAUUAUGAAAAUAAAUUUAACUCUAGUGCA